GACGAACGCUGGCGGCGUGCUUAACACAUGCAAGUCGAACGGAAAGGCCCUGCUUUUGUGGGGUGCUCGAGUGGCGAACGGGUGAGUAACACGUGAGUAACCUGCCCUUGACUUUGGGAUAACUUCAGGAAACUGGGGCUAAUACCGGAUAGGAGCUCCUGCUUCAUGGUGGGGGUUGGAAAGUUUCGGCGGUUGGGGAUGGACUCGCGGCUUAUCAGCUUGUUGGUGGGGUAGUGGCUUACCAAGGCUUUGACGGGUAGCCGGCCUGAGAGGGUGACCGGCCACAUUGGGACUGAGAUACGGCCCAGACUCCUACGGGAGGCAGCAGUGGGGAAUAUUGCACAAUGGGCGGAAGCCUGAUGCAGCAACGCCGCGUGCGGGAUGACGGCCUUCGGGUUGUAAACCGCUUUCGCCUGUGACGAAGCGUGAGUGAAGGUAAUGGGUAAAGAAGCACCGGCUAACUACGUG
rnacentral:rRNA from 1 species